ensembl:miRNA Mir6330 microRNA 6330
GAUGGAGUGCAGUGUGACAUUUCAUGUGCAUGUGUGUAAUAACCAGAUCUGGGUCAUUUCAGUACAUGUACACAGUGUAUAAUGACCAGAUCUGGGUCAACACAUGUGUAACAAUCAGAUCCAGGUCAUCGGCAGACCC